UACGUAGGUGGCAAGCGUUGUCCGGAUUUAUUGGGUUUAAAGGGUGCGCAGGCGGUCGGGUGUGUCAGAUGUGAAAUCCCGAGGCUCAACCUCGGAACUGCGUCUGAAACUACUCGACUAGAGUACUGGAGAGGGUAACGGAAUUCACGGUGUAGCAGUGAAAUGCGUAGAUAUCGUGAGGAACACCAGAGGCGAAGGCGGUUACCUGGACAGUUACUGACGCUCAGGCACGAAAGCAUGGGGAGCAAAAGGG
rnacentral:rRNA from 1 species